rnacentral:rRNA from 1 species
UACGGAGGGUGCAAACGUUGCUCGGAAUCAUUGGGCGUAAAGCGAACGUAGGCGGCAUUGUAAGUCGGGUGUGAAAGCCCUCGGCUCAACCGAGGAAGUGCAUUCGAAACUGCAACGCUUGAGUGUCGGAGAGGAUAGCGGAAUUCCCGGUGUAGAGGUGAAAUUCGUAGAUAUCGGGAGGAACACCAGUGGCGAAGGCGGCUAUCUGGACGAACACUGACGCUGAAGUUCGAAAGCGUGGGGAGCAAACA